GAAUUUGCUCUCGUAGCUGUACUCGGAGCCGCCGGGCGAGCUGUAGGAGUUGGAGUAGGACGAGUAGCCGCUCUGGCCGUGGCUGUAGCCCUUCUGCUUGCCCUGCGGCCCGUAGCUGCCGUACUGGUUCUGGCCGUAGCUCUGCUGCUGCUGGCCCUGGUGGCCCUGGUAGCCCGAGCCGUAGGACUUCUGCUGCCCGCCGUGCUGCUGCUUCUUGCCGCCGUGUUUGGGCGCCGUGGGCGAGCUGUAGCCGUCGCCGCCCUGGUAGUACGAGCCGAAGCCCGAGGAGCCGCCGCCGCCCGCGUUGGAGUGGCCGCCGUUGCUGUAGAACUGGCCUGGGGGGAGACGGGGCGUCAGUGGGGCUGGGGGAGGCGGGGGGUGGGAUGAGAGUGGGGCACGGGACGGGGCAGGGAAGGGGGGACUGAAUGGGGCAGAGAAUGGGGCAUUGAAUGGGGCAUUGAAUGGGGCAGAGAAUGGGGCAGAGAAUGGGGCAAUGAAUGGGGCAGAGAAUGGGGCACAGAACGGGGCAGAGAAUGGAGCAGAGAAUGGGGCACAGGAUGGGGAACUGAAUGGGGCACAGGAUGGGGCACAGAACAGGGCACAGAAUGGGGCACAGAAUGGGGCAUAGGAUGGGGAACUGAAUGGGGAACAGAACGGGGUACAGGAUGCAGCACAGGACGGGGCAUAGGAUGGGGCACAGAAUGGGGCAUAGGAUGGGGAACAUAAAGGAACACAGGAUGGGGCACAGGAUGGGCACAGAAUGGGGCACAGGAUGGGGAACAGCCAGUGGAACACAUCAAAGGACCGGCUGACUUGAAAAGUGCCAGAGAUCCUCACGAGUGGGGUGGAACCACCACAGAACCACCACAGAACCAUCAGAGAACCACCACAGAACCACCACAGAACCAUCAGAGAACCACCACAGAACCACCACAGAACCAUCACAGAACCAUCACAGAACCACCGCAGAACCACCACAGAACCAUCACAGAACCAUCACAGAACCACCGCAGAACCACCACAGAACCACCGCAGAACCACCGCAGAACCACCGCAGAACCACCACAGAACCACCACAGAACCACCACAGAACCACCGCAGAAUAGCCCACUUCAGAUUGAACUCAACACAGAACCACCCAAGUGGGAUGGAAGCCAGCACAGGGAGGACCAAGUUGGAUGGAACCCAUCAGAGAACGGCCCAAGUUGGAUGGAAGCCAUCAUAGAACCAACCAAGUUGGGUGAAUCCCAUCGGAGAACGGCCCAAGGAAGAUGGAACCCAUCAGAGAACGGCCCAAGCGGGAUGGAAGCCAUCAGAGAACCAACCAAGGAAGUUGGAACCCAUCAUGGAAUGGCCCAAGUAAGAUGGAACCCAUCAGAGAACGGCCCAAGUUGGAAAGGAACCAUCAGAAAUAUCCCGAGUGGGAUGGAACCAGCACAGAACUGCCCGAGUUGGAUGGAACCCAUCAGAAAACCACUCGAGGUGGAUGGAACCCGUCAGAAAACCACUCGAGUUGGAUGGAACCCGUCAGAAAACCACUCGAGGUGGAUGGAACCCGUCAGAAAACCACUCGAGUUGGAUGGAACCCAUCAGAAAACCACUCGAGGUGGAUGGAAUCCAUCAGAAAACCACUCGAGGUGGAUGGAACCCGUCAGAAAACCGCCCGAGUUGGAUGGAA
ensembl:lncRNA